ACCGCUAGACGGGACCGAGGCAUCGGCAAGGCAUCAUUGGUGCUGCGGCAGCCUGACGCGCCCCGUGCACUUGACUUGCUUGAUUUGCAUAUGCAAUGCAGCCAUACUUAAUGAGUGAUAUGGAAGCUUCUGCCUGUGAAUUUAAAACCAAAGACAAUCAAGAUCUUGGUGAGAGACAGAAGCAAAGAAUAACCCUUCAAAUAAGCCCUUACCAGAAAACAGCCUUUGAAGAAGUCAAGAGCAGGUAGGGAUUUUCACUUUGGACAAUAUCCAUGAGAAAUGUUUGCUUGUGUUUUUGACGACGGGCUGUGCAACUGUGUGGGACCUGAUCAGGAAGAGACAGACUAGUCCGGCAUGGUCAUUGCUCGGCUAGAAGCAAGCUUGAAGCAGACCUCUUGGCCUACCCGA